AUCACUGGACAGUAAUCCAGGGUGUGGGAGGUUAUAUCACUGGACAGUAAUCCAGGGUGUGGGAGGUUAUAUCACUGGACAGUAAUCCAGGGUGUGGGAGGUUAUAUCACUGGACAGUAAUCCAGGGUGUGGGAGGUUAUAUCACUGGACAGUAAUCCAGGGUGUGGGAGGUUAUAUCACUGGACAGUAAUCCAGGGUGUGGGUGUUAUAUCACUGGACAGUAAUCCAGGGUGUGGGUGUUAUAUCACUGGACAGUAAUCCAGGGUGUGGGUGUUAUAUCACUGGACAGUAAUCCAGGGUGUGGGUGUUAUAUCACUGGACAGUAAUCCAGGGUGUGGGAGGUUAUAUCACUGGACAGUAAUCCAGAGUGUGGGUGUUAUAUCACUGGACCGUAAUCCAGGGUGUGGGUGUUAUAUCACUAGACAGUAAUCCAGAGUGUGGGUGUUAUAUCACUGGACAGUAAUCCAGAGUGUGGGUGUUAUAUCACUGGACAGUAAUCCAGGGUGUGGGUGUUAUAUCACUGGACAGUAAUCCAGGGUGUGUGUGUUAUAUCACUGGACCGUAAUCCAGGGUGUGGGUGUUAUAUCACUGGACAGUAAUCCAGGGUGUGGGUGUUAUAUCACUGGACCGUAAUCCAGGGUGUGGGAGGUUAUAUCACUGGACAGUAAUCCAGGGCGUGGGUGUUAUAUCACUGGACAGUAAUCCAGGGUGUGGGUGUAAUAUCACUGGACAGUAAUCCAGGGUGUGGGAGGUUAUAUCACUGGACAGUAAUCCAGAGUGUGGGUGUUAUAUCACUGGACAGUAAUCCAGGGUGUGGGUGUUAUAUCACUGGACCGUAAUCCAGGGUGUGGGUGUUAUAUCAAUGGACAGUAAUCCAGGGUGUGUGUGUUAUAUCACUGGACAGUAAUCCAGGGUGUGGGUGUUAUAUCACUGGACAGUAAUCCAGGUACGGAAAUGCAGGGGUGAUAUUACUGCUUUUGCAAGAUUUGUGAAGGUUCAUAGCUGAGGUUGAGGUUUGAGCUGUAGGUUAUGCUCACUGAGUUGUAGGUUUGAUAUCCAGACGUUUCAUUACCUGGCUAGGUAACAUCAUCAGUGG